rnacentral:rRNA from 1 species
CUACGGGGGGCAGCAGUAAGGAAUAUUGCGCAAUGGAGGCAACUCUGACGCAGCCAUGCCGCGUGCAGGAAGAAGGCCUUAUGGGUCGUAAACUGCUUUUAUUUAGGAAUAAACCCCCGAACGUGUUCGGGGCUGAAGGUACUAAACGAAUAAGCACCGGCUAACUCCGUGGCAGCAGCCGCGGUAAUACGGAGGGUGCAAGCGUUAUCCGGAUUUAUUGGGUUUAAAGGGUGCGCAGGCGGGCUAUUAAGUCAGUGGUGAAAUCCCGGGGCUCAACUCCGGAACUGCCAUUGAUACUGAUAGUCGUGAGUUUGGUUGAAGUGGGCGGAAUGUAGCAUGUAGCGGUGAAAUGCAUAGAUAUGCUACAGAACACCAAUCGCGAAGGCAGCUCACUAAGCCAAAACUGACGCUCAUGCACGAAAGCGUGGGGAUCAAACAGGAUUAGAUACCCCUGUAGUC